GAUGAACGCUAGCGGCAGGCUUAACACAUGCAAGUCGAGGGGCAGCACAGGUAGCAAUACUGGGUGGCGACCGGCAAACGGGUGCGGAACACGUACGCAAUCUACCUUUAUCUGGGGCAUAGCCCGAAGAAAUUCGGAUUAAUACCCCAUAAUAUAGAUGAGUGGCAUCACUUGACUAUUAAAACUCCGGUGGAUAGAGAUGAGCGUGCGUCCCAUUAGCUAGUUGGCAGGGUAAAGGCCUACCAAGGCGACGAUGGGUAGCUGGUGUGAGAGAACGACCAGCCACACGGGCACUGAGACACGGGCCCGACUCCUACGGGAGGCAGCAGUGAGGAAUAUUGGUCAAUGGACGCAAGUCUGAACCAGCCAUGCCGCGUGAAGGAUGACGGCCUUCUGGGUUGUAAACUUCUUUUAUUGGGGAAGAAAAUUACGGUUUCUACUGUAACCGACGGUACCCAACGAAUAAGCACCGGCUAACUCCGUGCCAGCCGCCGCAGUAAGAC
rnacentral:rRNA from 1 species